rnacentral:rRNA from 1 species
CUUGACAUCCAGAGAAUUUAGCAGAGAUGCUUUAGUGCUUCGGGAACUCUGAGACAGGUGCUGCAUGGCUGUCGUCAGCUCGUGUUGUGAAAUGUUGGGUUAACGUCCGCAACGAGCGCAACCCUUAUCCUUUGUUGCCAGCACGUAAUGGUGGGAACUCAAAGGAGACUGCCGGUGAUAAACCGGAGGAAGGUGGGGAUGACGUCAAGUCAUCAUGGCCCUUACGAGUAGGGCUACACACGUGCUACAAUGGCGUAUACAAAGAGAAGCGACCUCGCGAGAGCAAGCGGACCUCAUAAAGUGCGUCGUAGUCCGGAUUGGAGUCUGCAACUCGACUCCAUGAAGUCGGAAUCGCUAGUAAUCGUAAAUCAGAAUGUUACGGUGAAUACGUUCCCGGGCCUUGUACACACCGCCCGUCACACCAUGGGAGUGGGUUGCAAAAGAAGUAGAUAGCUUAACCUUCGGGAGGGCGUUUACCACUUUGUGAUUCAUGACUGGGGUGAAGUCGUAACAAGGUAGGCGUAGUGCU